rnacentral:rRNA from 1 species
AAGUUCGGAGCGGCGAACGGGAAAGUAGCUUGCUACUUUUGCCGGCGAGCGGCGGACGGGUGAGUGAAUGCCUGGGAAAUUGUGCCCAGUCGAGGGGGAUGAACAGUUGGAAACGACUGCUAAUACCGCAUGACGCCCUACGGGGGAAAGCAGGGGACCUUCGGGCCUUGCGCGAUUGGAUAUGCCCAGGUGGGAUUAGCUAGUUGGUGAGGUAAUGGCUCACCAAGGCGACGAUCCCUAGCUGGUCUGAGAGGAUGAUCAGCCACACUGGAACUGAGACACGGUCCAGACUCCUACGGGAGGCAGCAGUGAGGGACCGCCGGCGUUCGUUCUGAUCCUAAUCUAAUUAAAACCCCAAGAUUUUCCUGGUUGCCUCCCCCCACUUCUAUCCCCGGGGUU